GGAGCCGGCCUUGAAAUACCACCCUUUAAUGUUUGAUGUUCUAACGUGGACCCGUGAUCCGGGUUGCGGACAGUGUCUGGUGGGUAGUUUGACUGGGGCGGUCUCCUCCUAAAGAGUAACGGAGGAGCACGAAGGUUGGCUAAUCCUGGUCGGACAUCAGGAGGUUAGUGCAAUGGCAUAAGCCAGCUUGACUGCGAGCGUGACGGCGCGAGCAGGUGCGAAAGCAGGUCAUAGUGAUCCGGUGGUUCUGAAUGGAAGGGCCAUCGCUCAACGGAUAAAAGGUACUCCGGGGAUAACAGGCUGAUACCGCCCAAGAGUUCAUAUCGACGGCGGUGUUUGGCACCUCGAUGUCGGCUCAUCACAUCCUGGGGCUGAAGUAGGUCCCAAGGGUAUGGCUGUUCGCCAUUUAAAGUGGUACGCGAGCUGGGUUUAGAACGUCGUGAGACAGUUC
rnacentral:rRNA from 1 species